CAUGUUGCUGAACUAAAUAAAUUAAACUUACAACUGCUAAUUUUGGAAAGAAAGGUUACAGCAUCGUCAUGGGAUCCAAAACAGAUAAACCCCCACAAUACAUAAUGACUUACUGCAAGCUGAAGACAUGGACAUGUCUAGUAUUUAUGAAUUUAUUUGAAAUCCACAAGAAAAUCAAGAAAUAUCUGAAAAUUUUGUUGUUCUCUAUAUACCUAAUAAUAAUAAAGAUUUCAGAAAGUGUUUUAUUUUAGUAACAAACUACUCUUGUACAAGUCCCAACUUCAGAAUCACAUGUGAAAGUAAAAUUAAAACAAAAUUAGUCUAUUGUGAUCUAAGUUGUAAUGUCAUGCAGACUUGUAGCUGGGUACCAACAUUCUUCAGAGACCUUGGUACCCACCUACAAGUUUAUAUGGUAUCACAACCCAGAAGACAGCACAUAUAUCUUCACUGUCAUGAGGACAUCAAAUCUCAAAAUGAAAUGUGCUAAACAUCAAAGUCAUAUUCAGUACUACGCUCGAUUAUAAGGCGCACUCUGUUAUUUGUUCAUGAAGCCUGGUAGUUAAAACUAGUGUAUCAAAGUCUGUAAAAUAAAGUGUCCAGUAAGAAAUGACAAAUGUAAUACUGGAGAAAAUGUUUGAAAUUGCUGA